ACGUAGGGGGCGAGCGUUAUCCGGAAUGAUUGGGCGUAAAGCGCGCGCAGGCGGCCGCUCAAGCGGGACCUCUAACCCCGGGGCUCAACCCCGGGCCGGGUCCCGAACUGGGCGGCUCGAGUGCGGUAGGGGAGAGCGGAAUUCCAAGUGUAGCGGUGAAAUGCGCAGAUAUUUGGAAGAACACCGAUGGCGAAGGCAGCUCUCUGGGCCGUCACUGACGCUGAGGCGCGAAAGCCGGGGGAGCGAACAG
rnacentral:rRNA from 2 species